UACGGAGGGGGCUAGCGUUGCUCGGAAUCACUGGGCGUAAAGGGUGCGUAGGCGGGUCUUUAAGUCAGAGGUGAAAUCCUGGAGCUCAACUCCAGAACUGCCUUUGAUACUGAGGAUCUUGAGUACGGGAGAGGUGAGUGGAACUGCGAGUGUAGAGGUGAAAUUCGUAGAUAUUCGGAAGAACACCAGUGGCGAAGGCGGCUCACUGGCCCGGUACUGACGCUGAGGUGCGAAAGCGUGGGGAGCAAACAGG
rnacentral:rRNA from 1 species